UACUAUCGCAUUGCAACAUUUGAAAUACAAACACGAAAGUAAAAAAAACAAAUAGUAUACAUUCAGCAAAAUUUGGGCACACAUCAAACCCAUCACAAAUGUCGACAGUGGAUUUAAAUGGGCCUAUAUCUAUUUUGGAAUAUCGUCAACGUAAGCAUGUGGUGCAGGCCGGUGUUGCGCCAUUUCCAGGCGCUCCUACCGGCUAUCCAUCAACCGGUGGGCAGGUAGCCGUUGCCAAUCCUGACAAUCUAUCUAUGGGAGUUGCGGCCAUCAAAGCUGACCAGGUGUCACAAAUGAAGACUGAGAGUGGAGCACAGAUCUCAGGAGGUACAAAUGCAGCCACGUCAACUUCUGGUGUGCAGCUUUACAUGCAACAGAAGAAAGUAAGAGCAAAAACACAUCCAAAAAUACCUAUUGCACAAACAAAUCUGCCAACGGUGACAUCGCAGUUCAACGGCUGCAAUGUUUCCAUCACAUCACCUGCAACAGUAACGACGACGCCAGAGGUGGUUAUGAAUUCGCCUUUGUUAAGCGGUAUUCCGGCGCAACAGCAUGAUGGCGGACUUGGGAUUGCGCUUAGCAAUGGAUUGUCGCCCGUCCUAAAUGGUUAUGAAAAAAAUCACCAAGAGAUGGAACAGCAGCAAUUGAAAUUGCUACAUCACCGAUCUAGUAUCCGACAUACGCACCAAAUGCACCAACAACCACAGUCGCAAACGCAGUCACAACCAUCGGCGGCAACGGCGACGCCAACGACAACAUUGACGAUUACGUCAUCACAACCGCCAUCGCAAAGUAUUGUACUAUCUUCAGUAUUGAUCNAAAAUGAUUCUGAGCUGAAUGUUACUCAGCAACAAAUGCAACAACAAUGCAAUGCAAAUAGCUCCAGUGGAGGGUCCGGUGGAAGUAGCACCAUUACGUCGAUUUCCAACAAUUCAGGAACAGUUGGAUCUACAGUUACCGCCACGACUAGCAACGGUACAGAUAGUUGCAUGAGUAAUCAGAACCAGCCUGUCAACGGAAACAAUGUAGCCAGUGGAGGAGUCUCGUCAGGGGACAUAGCCGCUACCGCGAAUGGCGCCUCCACAUCCUCACCCACAAACACACCUGGAAACUCAGAUGAUUUGCUAGGAAGCACCCACCAACAACAGCUUAUUACUGGAAUGGGAGGCAGUCCAGUCGCUGUCGGCACUGCGGCAACCUCUACCACCUCUACAUCAGUAGCUUCCGGAGCACUAGUCUCAACAAGCACUACUGCCAAUGUCGCCAACACUGGUUUGUUACCUACUAUUAUGUCCACCCCACAAAUGGUUCCCGGCUCAGUUGAGUCUGGCUCGGUAGUGUCGCCAUUGGUAAGCGGAGCCAGCACUUCUCAGGUCAUCGCCUGCCUCAACGCGGCUGGUGUUGGCACAAGUGGUGGAAUAAUGACCUCUGCCGUAUCAUCGAGUCCAGUUGCCACUAGUCUCACUUCGGCCCUAGUUCCAUUAAAUCAACAGCAGCAGCAACAAACUAUUAUUGAUUCCAAAAAUCAACCGAAACGUUUACACGUUUCGAAUAUUCCAUUUCGAUUCCGUGAUCCGGACCUACGCGCUAUGUUUGGGCAAUUUGGAACUAUAUUGGAUGUGGAAAUAAUUUUCAAUGAACGAGGCAGUAAGGGCUUUGGCUUUGUAACGUUCGCAAAUAGCAACGACGCUGAACGAGCUCGCGAACGUCUUCACGGCACUGUGGUUGAGGGACGUAAAAUCGAGGUGAAUAACGCUACAGCUCGAGUACAAACCAAAAAAAUAACUGCUGUUCCAAAUGUUGUACUGACAAAAGACGGUGCCGUACCGGCCCCAGCUCUAGUGUGUGUUCAAUGGCCAGAAGCCACCGUAGCAGCCGCUGCCGCCAUGCGAGGCGUAGCAAUCCAUCGCGGUCAUAUGGGAGUUGUGGGUGGGCCAUUCAACCCCGCUUUGGCCGCUGUUGCUGUAGCCGCACAGCAGCAACAACAUCACCACCAUCAUCAUCAGGCACACCAUCAUCCACAUCAUGCGCAACAAACCGCACACCACCAAUUAGGAUUGCAACAGGCAUUGCAAGUGCAAUCAGCAGGCGGGACCAACCAAGCUCACGCGGUUGCUGCGAUUCAGACCAGCGCUGCUCAACAACAACUGCAUUCAAUAGCUCAUUCAGCGGCCGCUGCAGCCAACACGCCCCAGGUAGCCAACGCCGCUGCUGCUGCUUAUGCUGCACGUUUGGGUGCUACAGGUGCAGCCACUCAAUCGCCAUCCGCUGCAGCUGCUGCAUCCAUAGCCGCCGCGGCAAAUGCAGCAGCUGCAGUCAAUGCGGCUGGUACCGCUUUACACGGAUUCACACCCGUCUACUACGAUCCCUUCCUAGCAGCUGCUGCAGCUUCCGCUGAUCCGAAUCUGCGAUUCCAGGCAGCCAAACCGGUCGCAGAAGUUCCAGCCGCACAGCCAGCAGCCAUAUUAAAUCGCCGCACUGUGACAACGCUAAACAGUUCCCCACAUACGAUCAACCGCAUUCCGGUACCACAAAACGUUUUGGCCACAGCUCCGCUUCUAAAGACUCCACUGUCACAAGCACAGCAGGCGUACGCAACAGCCGCCACCACAUACACAGCGGUGGCCGCUAGGGCAGCAUAUGGCGCUGCAGCCGCCGCUGCACAGCCGGCUUUAGCCGGUUACGCUACUGUUGCUGGAUAUGCAACAAGAGAGUAUGCAGACCCCUAUUUAGGACAUGGAAUCGGACCAGUGCCCGGCUAUGGUGCAACUAUGUAUCGUGGUGGAUUCAAUCGAUUCGCACCUUACUAGUGAGAGAAAUGAACAAUGCAAUGUACCACUGGCUGCUGACUGCAAGUCAACGCAGCUAUACUCAACUUUUGCAAAUUCGGUCACACAAUUUUGCACAUCAUGUGGAACAAAAUUAAAGAUUAUUAUAUAAGAAAAAAGGUUUUAUGUUACAUUAAGAAGAAUUGAAGUCGUCAAAAUGCUCAAGAAAUAUUACAAUUUUUAAUUAGCAACCCAAAAUACUCAUGCAAUGCGUAAAAACAAUGAGAUUAAAUCAAAUAUUCAGUGUAUAACAAAGCAAAUAUAAUAGAAAAAAGAGUUGAAGAUUAGCACAUAUACAUGCAUAUAAGAUAAAGGUAUUGAGCCAAAAAAUACCAACAAUUUAAAAAUUUAAUAGAAGAAAAGCGUAGUUGUUAAAUUGAAUGUCGUCCAACCAAUAUUUAAAAAUAUGAUAAAUACGUACAUACAUACAAAUUCUGGUAAGUGAGAAAACAUAAGCCAAAACAUUAAUACAAAGUAAUAUCGAAAAGCAAAACAAAAAAAAAAAAAAAAACUGAAUAUCCGGUAUUGGUGAAAUUGUUUAGCCGAUUAUCAUUUAUUUGAUUAGUUGGUGAAUUAUGGACAUCAUAGAAAAUAUUUAUAUAUAUAAUCAAAGUCACUCCUUAAUUUGUGCAUAAAAGCAUGCAUUGCUUUAGUGUAUUCAAAUUAUAAUUAGAAAUGUUUGCAAUUAUGCAGCAUAGGUAUUCAUUAGUUUGUACAUAUAGUACACAUGCGAUAAAUAUCAAAUGUAUAUUUAUAAAAUUUGAAGUUAUUUCUAAAUUUACUUAUACUACACCAUCUAAAUUCAUAAAAGCAACAUUUUAAAACUAAUUAUAAUAUAUUUAAAGACAAUGAUGAAAAUUUGUUUAACCCGAUUGUACUUCAUAUAAAUCGAAGUUUGACACAUUGUCAUUAAAUAACUUUACUUCAUCGCUUACUCAUUCACAUUGGCAGCUUAUUUCCCAGUAAUUGCUUUAUUCAAAUAUCUCUUUGAAUUGCUCAAGAAGCAAAUUUAAUGGUAUAAAAUAAUCGACACUUAAACAUAUCCAAACAUUAGAAAAGAGAUAAUUUGAAUAUUAUUAAAUAAAUUAAAACUUUCUCUCUUAAAUAUACAUAUAUUCAAAGUCUUGAAUAUCAUUGCAAAAACGUGUUGUAUUUACUUGUGAUAAAAAUACAAAGAAGUGAAUAUCCGAAAAUCACUUCCAUUAUAAUUUAGUUUUCCAAACAACUGUACUCAAAAUAUGUACUCCGAUAUGCAAUCAAAUACCUUCCUGAAACAAUUUAAAAAUCGCCCAUGAUGGAGUUGUUAAAAAAGUAUUUGCUCAAGAAAUAACGACUUAAGUAAAAAUUGAUAUAAUGUUAUUUAAAUGUUCACGAAUGCAGCUAUGAUAUCACAAAUUUUGAGAGAUCAAUUAUAUUUUUUGUUUAUAAAAUAGGGUUCUGAAAAAAUCGAACCAAAUUAUUGUAUGCAUUGUAUGUAUUUUAAUAAGUUUGUUUGUGCUUGCUUUCGCACCAUUUAAAUAAAUAUCCGAACUCUUCCGAUACAUCGCUAAAGGACACUCAAAGUGAAUCAAAUUUGCUCAAAUUAUUUUCAUACAAAAUAUAUAAAUAACAUAUAGUAUACUCUAUUGUAUCCCUUAGAUUUGACUUGGGAUAUUAACAUGUCAAAGUAGCGUUUAUUCAUCAUAUCAGGCUGUAAAUCUGAAGUUUUUGGGACACAAAAUGGUUUUAAAAGGUCAGAUUGACACGAAAAAACAAACAGAUUAAAAGCACAAGUAGGAUUAAAAUUUACGCAUACAAAACUUCUCUGCAAUUUUUUUUAAUUAUAAAGUGAAAGAAUACAUGCAUCAAUAUAUUAUAUGAGUAAGAAAUUUGUACAAGUAUAUUUUAAGAGUUGAACAAUUUAAAUGACCAAAAAUAAAAUUUAGAAGUAUCUAAAAGUAUUUAUGAAUCACGCAAAAAUUCGCGCAAAUUACUAGUAUUAAGUGAUUUUUAUUGAUUAUUAUGAAUGGCGAUACACAUGUAACACUAUUUACACACAUAUGUCAUCUGAACAAAUAUCUAGAUAAACCAGUUCGCAACAACGUUUAUUAAGUAACGCCAAGUUAAAAAAAAACUAAGAUCCAUAAACGUAAAAAUAUCAUUGAAAUUAUUUUUACUAUGAAUUUUUUAUUUUAUUUUUAUAAAUUAUUUUACAUGAAGCCAAAGUCUAAUAUUUUAGUUAAACCUUCUAUUUGAUUAGUUUGUAGUGUGAUUACUUUAGUAUUUAUUUUUAAAUGUUUUAAAAUUGAAUAAUGAAUUUUCAAAUUCACAUUAUCAGCGAAUGCAAUGCAUCCGAAAAAUUCUCAUUUCAAUUCACAAAUUUGUUCUAAAUUUAAAUAGUAAUUGAAAUAUAAUAUAUAUAUAAUCGCAAGAAUUAUGUUGCAUAAUGUUACAUAUACAUAUGUCUGUAUAUGAUUGCAUUAAAAGUUAAAUCAAAUCCAUUUAUUGCCAAAUAAAUAGCUUUUAAUUGAACACACUAAAUAAACAAAGAUGAAAAAAUGAGAAUCUGAGAAGUCCCAAUAGCAAUAAAUUUAAAAAUUAUACGUAAAAAAUCAAAUCUUUGCAAUUUUUUUUAGGCGUUCGAAGGAACGUUUGGUCUGCUCAGUAACUUAAAAGCUUAAAUUUUAAUGUUGUGUCAUUUGGAUCUUUAAAUGUUAUAUAUAUUUUUUUUUAUUUAAAACUGUUAUACGGGGGUAGGAAUAUUUAUCAAUGAGCAUUCUCGUCAUUAUUUGUAAGACUUUUCAUCACAAUCGAUUCAAUCUUUAUGCAAUUAUUUUUUUCAAGAAUUAUUAGUAACAAACAAAUUGAAUAAUAUUUCAGAAUUCUGUUGAAAAGUUGCACAUCACCGUUUUAAAACAAAUUGAAACCUCUAACUAGCUCUAUGACAAUUUUUAAGUAUCUAAGCAAGUAUUGAUUGUAAUACAUACUGUUUUAAAAUACAAAUACAAAAAUUCUAGUUAUGAGUGAACAUCAUGAAAAAAAGCUCAAAAUUAUUGUAAGAAGAUCGUAUGAAAAUAAAAGUAAAUAUAAUACUCACGUAGGCAUAGCAUUAGAAGUUAAUACAAAAAAUGUUGAUUUCAAGUGAUUUUAAUUUAUAAUAAUUAUAUCAAAUCACGAAAGUAAUUUGUAGUAAAAAGUGCAAAAUCAUGCUGUAAAAUUAUUAAAGAGAACAUUGUCAACAAUACGAUGAACGAGUAUAUGAAUUAAAGUAUAGAAUUGUAGAAAUUACUUAAAUGUUUGAUCAAAAAACAAAUGUGCUGAAUUAGUAAUGUUUAUUCAACAUUUUAUUAAAAUAGUAGAUUAUGAUUGCAAGCAUAUUAAAAAUAUGGAAAAGGAAUAAUAAUAAAUUUAGAGCGUAAAAUGUGCCAAAUUGUAUAAAAUGUUAUAAUAUAUUGUACUUCUUCAUAUCUAUUGUGUCCCUAUAGCUGUAUUAAUCGGCUGGAAAACAUUGAAAGGUCAAUUUUACCUUUGCAAUUACUCUACUAUUGUCAGAAUGUAUUCGAAAGUAAAUUAAAUUUCUUUUAUUAAGUUCUUAUAAUUUGCAUAUCCACUCUUAUUAAACUUAUUUCAAGCAUAUGAAAAACGUAUAUAUAUAUUAUUUGAAUUAAACUCCUUAUAAAAUAUCACAUUCUGGAUUUAAAGUUCUGUAAGCAAUCAAGUGCUUAUAAGGAUGAGACUCGCACAUCACUCAAUUAAUUUGCAACCAAAUGAAAAA
rnacentral:misc_RNA from 1 species